rnacentral:rRNA from 1 species
GAAACUGCCUGGCUUGGGACCGGAAGACCAGAGGGGUACGUCCGGGGUAGGAGUGAAAUCCCGUAAUCCUGGACGGACCACCGGUGGCGAAAGCGCCUCUGGAAGACGGAUCCGACGGUGAGGGACGAAAGCUCGGGUCACGAACCGGAUUAGAUACCCGGGUAGUCCGAGCUGUAAACGAUGUCUGCUAGGUGUGCCACAGGCUACGAGCCUGUGGUGUGCCGCAGGGAAGCCGUGAAGCAGACCGCCUGGGAAGUACGUCCGCAAGGAUGAAACUUAAAGGAAUUGGCGGGGGAGCACUACAACCGGAGGAGCCUGCGGUUUAAUUGGACUCAACGCCGGACAUCUCACCAGCAUCGACAGUAGGAGUGACGGUCAGUGUGAUGAGCUUACCAGACCUACUGAGAGGAGGUGCAUGGCCGCCGUCAGCUCGUACCGUGAGGCGUCCUGUUAAGUCAGGCAACGAGCGAGACCCGCA